GACGAGUGCUGGCGGCGUGCUUAACACAUGCAAGUCGAACGGAAAGGCCCUGCUUUUGUGGGGUGCUCGAGUGGCGAACGGGUGAGUAACACGUGAGUAACCUGCCCUUGACUUUGGGAUAACUUCAGGAAACUGGGGCUAAUACCGGAUAGGAGCUCCUGCUGCAUGGUGGGGGUUGGAAAGUUUCGGCGGUUGGGGAUGGACUCGCGGCUUAUCAGCUUGUUGGUGGGGUAGUGGCUUACCAAGGCUUUGACGGGUAGCCGGCCUGAGAGGGUGACCGGCCACAUUGGGACUGAGAUACGGCCCAGACUCCUACGGGAGGCAGCAGUGGGGAAUAUUGCACAAUGGGCGGAAGCCUGAUGCAGCAACGCCGCGUGCGGGAUGACGGCCUUCGGGUUGUAAACCGCUUUCGCCUGUGACGAAGCGUGAGUGACGGUAAUGGGUAAAGAAGCACCGGCUAACUACGUG
rnacentral:rRNA from 1 species